rnacentral:rRNA from 1 species
UGUUUCGGCUAGGGGGCCAUCCCGGCUUACCAACCCGAUGCAAACUGCGAAUACCGGAGAAUGUUAUCACGGGAGACACACGGCGGGUGCUAACGUCCGUCGUGAAGAGGGAAACAACCCAGACCGCCAGCUAAGGUCCCAAAGUCAUGGUUAAGUGGGAAACGAUGUGGGAAGGCCCAGACAGCCAGGAUGUUGGCUUAGAAGCAGCCAUCAUUUAAAGAAAGCGUAAUAGCUCACUGGUCGAGUCGGCCUGCGCGGAAGAUGUAACGGGGCUAAACCAUGCACCGAAGCUGCGGCAGCGAACGUAUCACUUAAAACGAUUCAGAAGCUUACGAUUGACGGAGCGAAGCGACGUCAAAGCGUAUACAAAGUCGAGUCGGUUUAAGGAUACGUUCGUUGGGUAGGGGAGCGUUCUGUAAGCCUGCGAAGGUGGCCUGUGAGGGUUGCUGGAGGUAUCAGAAGUGCGAAUGCUGACAUAAGUAACGAUAAAGCGGGUGAAAAGCCCGCUCGCCGGAAGACCAAGGGUUCCUGUCCAACGUUAAUCGGGGCAGGGUGAGUCGACCCCUAAGGCGAGGCCGAAAGGCGUAGUCGAUGGGAAACGGGUUAAUAUUCCCGUACUUGGUGUUACUGCGAAGGGGGGACGGAGAAGGCUAUGUUGGCCGGGCGACGGUUGUCCCGGUUUAAGCGUGUAGGCUGACUUUCCAGG